rnacentral:rRNA from 1 species
AACUUUUAACAACGGAUCUCUUCGGCUCUCGCAUCGAUGAAGAACGCAGCGAAAUGCGAUAAGUAAUGUGAAUUGCAGAAUUCAGUGAAUCAUCGAAUCUUUGAACGCACCUUGCGCUCCUUGGUAUUCCGAGGAGCACGCCUGUUCGAGUGUCAUGA